rnacentral:rRNA from 1 species
GCUUCCCUCUGGCGGCGUGCUUAACACAUGCAAGUCGAACGGUGAAGCCAAGCUUUCGUGGUGGAUCAGUGUCGAACGGGUGAGUAACACGCGAGCAACCUGCCCUGGUCUCUGGGAUAAGCGCUGGAAACGGUGUCUAAUACUGGAUAUGAGCCCCUUUGGCACGGUGGGGGUUGGAAAGAUUUUUUGGUCUGGGAUGGGCUCGCGGCCUAUCAGCUUGUUGGUGAGGUAAUGGCUCACCAAGGCGUCGACGGGUAGCCGGCCUGAGAGGGUGACCGGCCACACUGGGACUGAGACACGGCCCAGACUCCUACGGGAGGCAGCAGUGGGGAAUAUUGCACAAUGGGCGGAAGCCUGAUGCAGCAACGCCGCGUGAGGGAUGACGGCCUUCGGGUUGUAAACCUCUUUUUGCAGGGAAGAAGCGAAAGUGACGGUACCUGCUGAAAAAGCGCCGGCUAACUACGUG